rnacentral:rRNA from 1 species
CUUACGGGGGGCAGCAGUAGGGAAUAUUGCUCAAUGGGGGAAACCCUGAAGCAGCAACGUCGCGUGGAGGAUGAAGGUCUUCGGAUUGUAAACUCUUUUUGUUAGAGAAGAUAAUUACGGUAUCUAACGAAUAAGCACCGGCUAACACCGUGACAGCAGCGGCGGUAAUACGGAGGGUGCAAGCGUUACUCGGAAUCACUGGGCGUAAAGAGGGCGUAGGCGGGAUAGCAAGUCAGAUGUGAAAUCCUAUGGCUUAACCAUAGAACUGCAUUUGACACUGUUAUUCUUGAGUAUGGGAGAGGUAGGUGGAAUUCUUGGUGUAGGGGUAAAAUCCUUAGAGAUCAAGAAGAAUACUCAUUGCGAAGGCGACCUGCUAGAACAUAACUGACGCUGAUGCGCGAAAGCGUGGGGAGCAAACAGGAUUAGAUACCCUUGUAGUC